GGAGGUAUGCUUAACACAUGCCAAGUCGAACGCGAACGUUUCUUCGGAAACAAGUAGAGUGGCGGACGGGUGAGUAACGCGUAGGAAUAUACCUAGUAGUGGGGGAUAACAUGGAGAAAUUCAUGCUAAUACCGCAUAUGUCCCAUGGGAUAAAGAGGGCCUCUUCUUGAAAGCUCUUGCUAUUAGAUUAGCCUGCGUCGGAUUAGCUUGUUGGUGGGGUAAUGGCCCACCAAGGCGACGAUCCGUAGCUGGUCUGAGAGGAUGAUCAGCCACACUGGGACUGAGACACGGCCCAGACUCCUACGGGAGGCAGCAGUGGGGAAUAUUGGACAAUGGGGGCAACCCUGAUCCAGCAAUACCUCGUGUGUGAAGAA
rnacentral:rRNA from 1 species